AGGGAGAGCACCAUUGGCAUUUGGGAUCGCUACACCACCAUCUGGGGGAAGAAACCCUAUAGGUGUUGCAAAGGGUACUUGACCAGUGUAUAUGUUCCCUAGCAGACCAGUUAUCGGUCUCGCCGUUGGGCUGGCACCGCCAAGAAUGUCGUGCAUAUAAAAUUCAAGGACUGGCUCAUGUGCCCCGACAUUGGCAGUGACAGCUGCAGACCUAAAUGCCACAAAAUGCACUACGAUGAUCGCUGUU
rnacentral:lncRNA from 1 species